rnacentral:ncRNA from 1 species
GUUUCAGGGCGGGGUGAAAUUCCCCACCGGCGGUAUAGCCCGCGACCACCUGCUUAUAGCAGGUGCUGAUCUGGUGAGACUCCAGGGCCGACGGUAUAGUCCGGAUGAAAGAAA